AUGGAGGCAUUAUCACAUGCUCAUUUCGUCAAGCUAGCCGUCACUUUGUGGGCUAUUUGGUCGGCAAGGAGGAAGUCCAUCCACAAGGGGAUUUUUCGGAGUCCCCAGUCACUUUUCUCAUUCACCACCAGAUUCAUUGGAGAGCUGGAGAGUAUUAAAGAACGCAAACCGGGGACAGGAGGGGAUAUGCAACGUAGAACUCGUCCGAGAGCUCCUCCGGUGAACCAUGCAAAGCUUCAUGUGGAUGGGGUGAGACCAGGGCGAGGUGGUUCGGCAGCAGUUGUGUGCAGGGAUGCCGAGGGGAACUAGCUCGGUAGCACAGCCCUGGUGGUGCAAGGAGUGGAUGACCCAAUGAUUUUGGAGUCGAUAGCCUGCAGGGAGGCACUUUGUGCAGCUGAGGAUCUUCUGUUGCAGAGUUUUGUGGUCGCAUCAGACGCAAAACAGGUGGUGAGAGACAUUGCUGGAGUUUCCCACGGCAAACAUGGCGCAAUUAUCAGCGAGAUCAAAGCCCGUUCUACUGCUUUUUCCUGUAGUUUUAUUUUUGAAAGUCGAGGCAGUAACGUAGAAGCUCAUCGCUUAGCUAGGUACGCUCUUAAUCUAGCACCUGGGCGUCAUGUGUGGUUUGGCCAACCACAUAAUGUAAGCAUUAUCCCACUUUAUAUGGAAUUCGAUCAAUAA
rnacentral:rRNA from 1 species